rnacentral:lncRNA from 1 species
ACAGAGAGCAAAUUAGAAUGCAUGGAAGUUGACAUGUCGUCACUUAAUUUUUUUGCGCCGCGCAUAAAUCUGAGAAGCGUGAGUUUGUCACAAUUGUUUAUCUAGACAUAGGAUUGGUUGUGUGAAAAUAUUACUGAUGUUUAACGUUAAAAAUGGACCAAAAGAUGAAUGAUAAACAACGUUUGACAUGUUUGAACGAACGUAAAUAGAUUAUUUACUAGGUUUUUUUAGCUUUUCGGCGUGAUUUUACACCCCCCCCCCACCACGUUUUGUGGGACAAUAAUGAACGCAAACUACUUGGUGUUAUUUGGACAUAAAUUAUGAACUUUGUCAAAAGAAACCACAUUUGUUCUGGACCUGCAGUGCCUUCUGAUGGAGAUAAUCAAAGUGCCUCAGCGUUCCAGGCCAUGCAGUACCUGCCUCACCAGCAGCAGGGCUACACUGUACACUGCCACUGACUUCUCAGACAGCUCCUCCUGGCAGACAGGGACAGAGAGAGGGACAGGGACAGAGAGCGGGACAGGGACUCAGGAGGGCGGUAUGGUGCCGGUGGGAUCGUCUCUAGAAGGUAAUCUUGGGAGGAGGCGAACUCUUCCUCCAAGUAUUCCCACCCUUCACACCACUCAGAGCGAGAGAGAGGGGAGAGGGGCUACAAAUGGGAUACCGUGGGCUACAGAGACCACGGCAGACUACGUAACUCACACAACCACCGCAGCAGCAGUCGGAGGCGGAGCAGCAGCCACAAUCGGGACAUCAGCGACAGGGAGAGAGACAGCAACUGCUCCAACAGCUCUGACCCUAGAUUCAACUCCAACUCCCACCAUUCCUCCAACAGCCUGUCCCCGCCUCUGUCCUCCUCCUACCCCUCCUAGUCCUCCUUUUCCUCUAAAGACCUGCCCUCUCACUCUCCCCAUGAUCCCUCCGUCUCCUCUCGCCUAGAGCCCUACUCAGUGUACCAUGCCCAGACCAGUUGGGCUGGUUCUGGGGAGAGGGGCUCUGGUUCUGAUAACAAGGACCCCCCAUCCCAACACAACCCUCUGCUUCCCCUGUGGAGAGGGGAGGAAGAAUCGCACUGUAGUUGCACCAGCCACUCCCUCCUCCUCCACCUUGCCUCCACACGUCCCUACUACAGACGACCAGACUAGUCUCCAUGGAACAUGCCAACCUGGGCCUAAUGAUCCAAGGACUAGACAGGGGGCACACACACACCUGUACAGAGUCAGUCAUCCCUUCAUUCCUCUGUGGAAGACAUUGAGAUCUCAGACGAGGAUGAGGAACACACCAUUACAGCAUUGACCAACCAUCACGCCUCCUCCCCCUCUUCAUCCCAGGCCCUCUCACACAUUCACUAAAACAUAAGCACAACACAUACACACACAACUACACUCACACACACACAUUCACGCUACACACGCCAUGACUGCCACUAUUGGACUUACAUUGUUACUGCACAACUAUUGCACAAUUCAACACUUUAAGCUCUCCAUAACCCCCUGGCACGUGUAAAUACCCUACUGUAAAUGUGUUUGAUUAAAGUUGAAUCAGGUUAGUUAUAACUGGGGUUGGAUUGAAAACUUAAAGGACAGUAGCUCUCCUGGAACAGUGUUGGAGAGCCCUGGUGUACACCAUGUGUAUCUAGGGCUGGACGAUAUGGCCUAAAUAUAAUAUCACUGUAUUUUUCAAUUUCUUUACGGUAUUUGAUGUUUCUUAAUAAUGAAAGUUCUGAAUAUGCUUUAUGGGUAGUGCAUGGCCCUAUAACGAAGUAUUGAUUUCAUAUGCAUGGUGCAGCAACGUAGCCAGUAACCAGACCAGUAACAUAAUUGAACUCAAAAUAUGCUAUUCUAUUUAUUUUAAAAAAAUACAUUUUAUUAGUCUUAUAAUAUUUCUUAGGACCUGCCUAAACAAACCAAUAAUGGAUUUCUUUGUGAUGGUGUGUAUUCAAUGGAUUUAUUCAAAUAGACGCCCGCCCAUAUCGACGCAUCCCUACUCCUCUUCACCGGUGCCAGCAUGCACAAGGAAGGUAUAAAAGGCUUAUGCCAGCAAGAAUGUGGUAAAAAUUGGCCUUUUUUAAAAAGGGGUCAUAUAAACAUUGCCCCACUUGCUUUUUACAGGCAACAUACCGUAAAUCCUAUGUUAAAAUUGUAUUAUCUUCCCUGAUGUCUUGGAGAACCAUGUGUAUCUGAGGAGAAGGGGGAGUAAUAUGCUUAGCCCCCAGCUAGAUAGAAGAUAAGUUAAUAAUGACUGAAAAGGAAAUUUUUUAUCAAAAUGCGUUUUUUGGCAGAAAUGCCUUCUCUAACAUGUGAACUUUUAUGUGCCUUCAUUACAAACUUGUAUACCAUCUGUAAAUAUGAAUAAAAUUGUGAAAUUACAAGCCUUGUUGGUUAAGCCACAGAAAAAGACAGCAAUCUUCCCACUAGCCAUGAUUGGCUGAGAUAAUGAGUGUGCUUGACAUGCCGAGAGAUGAGUUCCGAUUGGCCUACCACAUAGGGGGCUUCUGUCUAUUUGAGCUUGUCAG